CCAAAUAAUCUACAAACAAGGAAGUCUUUGGAUGUUUGGCACGUUCUCAACAACCCUCACCUAGUUCUACAGAUACGCCGUAGAAAGCAUUUUAUCGGGAUGCAUCGCACCUUGCUUGGGAACAGCUCCAUCCAAGACCACAAGGAAUUGCAGAGAG